AUAUUGGACAAUGGGCGCAAGCCUGAUCCAGCCAUGCCGCGUGAGUGAUGAAGGCCUUAGGGUUGUAAAGCUCUUUCAGCUGGGAAGAUAAUGACGGUACCAGCAGAAGAAGCCCCGGCUAACUUCGUGCCAGCAGCCGCGGUAAUACGAAGGGGGCUAGCGUUGUUCGGAAUCACUGGGCGUAAAGCGCACGUAGGCGGAUCGAUAAGUCAGGGGUGAAAUCCCGAGGCUCAACCUCGGAACUGCCUUUGAUACUGUCGACCUUGAGUCCGGGAGAGGUGAGUGGAACUCCGAGUGUAGAGGUGAAAUUCGUAGAUAUUCGGAAGAACACCAGUGGCGAAGGCGGCUCACUGGCCCGGUACUGACGCUGAGGUGCGAAAGCGUGGGGAGCAAACAGG
rnacentral:rRNA from 1 species